rnacentral:piRNA from 1 species
UGCAAAUCAGCGUUGAGAUUUAGGA